GACGAACGCUGGCGGCGUGCCUAAUACAUGCAAGUAGAACGCAGUUGCGAACGGGUGAGUAACGCGUAGGUAACUGCCUGGUAGCGGGGGAUAACUAUUGGAAAAGAUAGCUAAUACCGCAUACUACCAGAUGGACCUGCGUUGUAUUAGCUAGUUGGUGGGGUAACGGCCCACCAAGGCAACGAUACAUAGCCGGGCUGAGAGGGUGAACUGCCACAAUGGGACUGAGCAACGGCCCAGACUCCUGCGGUAGGCAACAGUAGGGCAUCUUCGGCAAUGGACGGAAGUCUUGCCGAGCAACUCCGCGUGAGAGGAGAAGGUUUUCGGAUCGUAAAGCUCUGUUGUAAGAGAAGCGGUAUCUUACCAGAAAGGGACGGCUAACUACGUGCCAGCAGCCGCGGUAAUUC
rnacentral:rRNA from 1 species